GAGUUUGAUCAUGGCUCAGAACGAACGCUGGCGGCAGGCCUAACACAUGCAAGUCGAGCGGGCGUAGCGAUACGUCAGCGGCGCACGGGUGAGUAACGCGUGGGAACCUGCCCUUUGGUUUGGAACAACCCUGGGAAACUAGGGCUGAUACCGGAUACGCCCCGCGAGGGGGAAAGAUUUAUCGCCGAAGGAGGGGCCCGCGUCCGAUUAGCUAGUUGGUGAGGUAAUGGCUUACCGAGGCUUCGAUCGGUAGCCGGUCUGAGAGGACGAUCGGCCACACUGGGACUGAGACACGGCCCAGACUCCUACGGGAGGCAGCAGUGGGGAAUAUUGGACAAUGGGCGCAAGCCUGAUCCAGCCAUGCCGCGUGGGUGAUGAAGGCCUUCGGGUUG
rnacentral:rRNA from 1 species